rnacentral:rRNA from 1 species
UACGUAUGGUGCGAACGUUGUUCGGAAUCACUGGGCAUAAAGAGCACGUAGGCGGUCAAGCAAGUCCAUUGUGAAAUCCCCCGGCCUAACCGGGGAACUGCAUUGGAUACUACUUGACUUGAGUGCAGGAGGGGAGAGUGGAAUUCCAGGUGGAGCGGUGAAAUGCGUAGAUAUCUGGAGGAACGCCGGCGGCGAAAGCGACUCUCUGGUCUGUAACUGACGCUGAGGUGCGAAAGCUAGGGGAGCAAACGGG